rnacentral:rRNA from 1 species
UGGGGAAUUUUGGACAAUGGGGGCAACCCUGAUCCAGCAAUGCCGCGUGAGUGAAGAAGGCCUUCGGGUUGUAAAGCUCUUUUGUCAGGGAAGAAAAGGGUCUGGCUAAUAUCCAGAUCUGCUGACGGUACCUGAAGAAUAAGCACCGGCUAACUACGUG